UAAAUGUCCCCCUAUGCCCAUCCACUGCAGCCACACAAGCAGUGAUAAAGAUAAAAAGAGAGAGUGGGGCUACGUAUUCUCCACACAGGCUUGAGUGGAGAAUACGUAAUUUACCCUCGACAGCCGACAUUUAACGGAGCAAACAGCGGAGAACUUCUUCAACAUGGAUGACAUUAAAUUAAUAAUUGAAGUGGAGAAGUGCAGUGAAAAAAAAGAUUAAUGAUGGGACAAUGUUGGUUAAUGUUGGAGCAAGCGCUGCACGGCGCUUCAGCGUGGCUUCCGCGUCCGGAAAGCGACGUCAUGACGUAGUCAGCGUCACUGCGCACUCGUGUUUUGAGACGCCAGCCCAGCGCUCUCAGGUAGAGUGGGCUUGUCCGGACAUGUUGGGGUGUAGUUGAUCAGAUUCACGUCCUUCUAUCGCAAGUUCCGCCGCCUGAUAUCGCCCGACGGCAAGUUUUGUCGACUGAUGUCCUCCGACCGCAUGUCCUACGGCUGCGUGUCCUCCUCACUUUCUUCCAGCACUAACUAGGAUUUGGAUGCAGUGUAAGGAGUGCAAGUUCUCGCACCCUAAUCAGGAUAUUCUCCUCAAGCAUUACCGACUUUGCCACUACCGGGGACGCUUCUGGCCACUGCCGUGCCUGUACACUGACUGCUGCUGCACUUUCAAAACAAGCGAUAUAUGCUGAGUUUUUUUGAAUCACUCAAGUGGAUCUAAAGAAGACAUUCUUCACAUCUUUGGAUGCACACGCCUCAAACCUGAUAAAGCUUUACAGAACACGUAGCAGGACACUAGAAAAGGACUUAAAGGCCCUCCUUGACAACCUUGAUGAACAGACAACCAAUGUGCUUGCACAAAGGAAGGCCACAGCUCUCCGAGGUCUACCUCUCUAUUUGAGGGAGAAUCCAGGCAACGUCCUGAAGACAUGUCUGACUCGGAGGAAACGUCCGUUGCAGGUGUUCAACUUGGCAUAGUCACCAUUGUUGAAGAUGAUGUUGGGAGAGCUCACUCAAUGCCCAGAACAAUCAACAUUGCCCUUGUCAUCGAGGAAAAGGUUGUUGUGGAGGACAUCUCUGACAUCAGUACAGCCAUUGUCCUUCUCUUUGGAUGCAUCUACAACCUCAACCUGGACUACCCCAAAGGGUUGAGGUACACUUUUGAGGCCCUUCAAAAGAUUUUUAUGAACCUUGGCACUGAGUGUUCUGCCCGUGUUCAGGCUCUGAAAAACAACUUGUUAAAGUAGCCCGAUACCAUGACACAUAGACAUGUGUUCAAUGCACAUAUUUGCACACAUUGACAUGUCACUUUAUUCCUCAAAAUAUGUUUUUAAGUUCAGUAGUAGCUACACAAAUCCCAUGUUCCCAUUUGAAGUUAGUGUUUACUAACUGCUGGAUUUGUUUGUCUCUGAAACUAAACACGUUUGUGUCUUGUUACACGUUUUUAUGGAUGCACUUUCUAUAGACAUGUCACUUUAUUCCUCAAAAUAUGUUUUCAAGUUCAGUAGUAGCUACACAAGUUUGUGUAGUGUUGCUACGAAUCCCAUGUUCCCAUUGGAAGUUAGUGUUUACUAAGUGCUGGAUUUGGUUAUCUCUGCAACUGAACACGUUUGUGUCUUGUUACAUGUUUUUUAUGGAUGCACUUUCUUCACUGCUGGGUUUGGCCAGUGGUUUCCUCAAGUAUCUGACUAACACAUGUUUUGUGAUUCAUAGUGUCAAUCAUACUGUUUUCUAUAUUAUAGCUAAAGUAUUGAGAGCUGGUUCUGCACUUUGUUAUGUGUUUACAUAUUCUAUCUUUGAAAAUAAUUGUAUAAUGUUACCAAGUUCACUUAAGCAUCCCUGCUGCUGCAAUUUCAAUGUUGCCUUUUUUGUAGUUAUUGGAUGUAUAUAAUGUUAACCCCUGUGUUCUUAAUAAACAGAUUCUUUAUAGAA